ensembl:lncRNA
AUGACUCCCCCGCCCCAGCCCCUACGACUGCAGAGGGGCUGCGAGAGCAACUCCUUUCUAGACAGGGAACAAAUAAUGUCACAGGGCAUUGUCUGCGCCGCUCCCCAGCACCCUGUCACCUCUUCUCCAGCUCUAUUUGGGCAGGGUGCAGUGGCUCACACCUAUAAUCCCAGCACUUUGGGAGGCCGAGGUGGGCAGAUCACAGGUCAGGAGUUGGAGAUCAUCUUGGCCAAUAUGGUGAAACUCCGUCUCUACUAAAAAAAUAAAAAAUUAGCCGGGCAUGGUGACUAUAAUCCCAGCUACUCGGCGCCUGUAAUCCCAGCUACUCGGGAGGCUGAGGCAGGAGAAUUGCCUUAACCCGGGAGGCAGAGGUUGCAGUGAGCCAAGAAUGUGCCACUGCAGUCCAACCUGGGGACAGAGCAAGGCUUCAUCUCCAAAAAAACAAAAAAGAAAUGAUAACGUAGGCCGGGCGCGGUGGCUCAAGCCUGUAAUCCCAGCACUUUGGGAGGCCGAGACGGGCGGAUCACGAGGUCAGGAGAUCGAGACCAUCCUGGCUAACACGGUGAAACCCCGUCUCUACUAAAAAAAAUACAAAAAAACUAGCCGGGCGAGGGUGGCGGCCUGUAGUCCCAGCUACUUUCGGGCUGAGGCAGGAGAAUGGCGUAAACCGGGGCCGGAGCUUGCAGUGAGCUGAUGUCGGCCUGCAGCCAGCCUGGGUGACAAGCCGAGACUCCGUCUCAAAAAAAAAAAAAAAGAAAUGAUAACGUGGUGACUAUCACGAGUUGCCAAGAGAGGAGGGGCAGCCCUCAUGGUUAGAUAACCAAGCAAUUUGCUUUCAUUUUAGUGAAUUAAUUUUUUUUUUUUUUUUUGAGAGGAACUCUACCAAACUUUGAAUGCAGUGGUGCAAUUCGACUCAUGCAACCUUUACCUCGGGUUUCAAUGAUCCCUCUGCCUCAGCCUUUCUAGUGGCUGGGACUACAGGCACACUGCCACACCCAGAUAAUUUUUUGUAUUUUAGUAGAGAUGGGGCUUCACCACCGAUAGUUGUUCCUUCUGUUAACGUUCAUUAAACACCUACUGUGUACCAGAUGCCAGGCUGUGCUCCCCUAGCCCCAGGAGAUGUGCUCUAGGUUUUUCUAGGGGGCCCCUUGAUCCUCUCUCCUCUCAGCUCAGCAGCUCUAGGCAGCUGUGAGUCCCAGUCUAUUUGGCUGCAGAUUGGAUGAGUCCUCACCUGCCCUAGUUUGUUUGUUUAUUUGUUUUUUUGAGAUGGAGUCUUGCUCUGUCGCUCAGACUGAAGCGCAGCGGCAUGAUCUUGGCUCACUGCAACCUCUGCCUCCCGGGUUCCAGUGAUUCACCUGCCUCAGCCUCUCAAGUAGCUGGGAUUACAGGCGCCUGCUACCACUUCUGGCUAAUUUUUUAUUUUUAGUACAGACGGGGUUUUACCAUUUUGGCCAGGCUGGUCUUGAACUACUGACCUCAAAUGAUCCACCUGCCUCGGCCUCCCAAAGUGCUGGGAUUACAGGAAUGAGUCACUGCACCCUGCCUGUUAAUUUUUUGAGACAAUAUCUCGCCAUGCAGGCUGGGUGCAGUGGUGUGAUCGAUCAUGUCCUGCAGCCUUGAGCUCCUAGGCUCAAGCGAUCUUCCUACCUCAGCCUCUUGAGUAGCUAGGACAACAGGCACAGGCACACACCACCAUGCCUUGCUAAUUUUUUAAUUUCUAUAGAGACAGGGUCUCACUGUGUUGCCCAGGCUCAUCUUGAAUUCCUGGGCUCAAGUGAUUCUUCCGCCUUGGGCUGCCAAAGCACUAAGAUUACAGGCAGGAGCCACUGCAGCCAGUCCCCAUCUGCACUUUUUGUGAGACUUAGGGCCUUGAAAGAAAUGACUACAUUUUCUUCUUCUGGCUGGGUUAUCAGAGCUGGUUUGGACAGACUGACAGACCAAUAAAGGUGACAGUUGUGGUUUGUAGCCUCUCAGCUCAGUCAGACACAGUCAGAGUGUGAGAAGUGACCAAAUGUCUCCUUGGCAGACUAUUUCAAAGAUUAAGACACUUGGCUCAGGUGUGGAGGCUAGGUGUGGUGGCUCAUGCCUGUAAUCCCUGUAGCACUUUCAGGAGGCUGGUAGGGAGGAUCACUUGAGCCUAGGAGUUGGAGACCAGCCUGGGCAACAUAGGGAGAAUCUGUUUCUACAAACAAUUUAAAAAAAAAAUUAGCUGGGCAUGGUGGUGCAUGCCUGUAGUUCCAGCACCUCAGGAGGCUGUGGCAGGAGGAUUACCUAAGCCCAGGAGGUAGAGCCUGUAGUGAGCCAUGAUUUUUGUCACUGCACUCCAACCUGGGCAAUGGAGCAAGACUCUGCCUCAAAAUAAAUAAAUAAAUAGGCCAGGCACAGUGGCUCACAACUGUAAUUCCAGCACUUUGGGGGAGGCAGUGGUGGAUCCGCGAGGUCAGGAGAUCCCGAGACCAUCCUGGCUAACACGGUGGCUCCGUCUCUACUAAAAAGCCCUAAAAAUUUAGCUGGGAGGCUUGGUGGUGAGGCACCUGUAGUCUCAGCUACUUGGGAG